rnacentral:rRNA from 1 species
ACUCAAAGGAAUAGACGGGGACCCGCACAAGCGGUGGAGCAUGUGGUUUAAUUCGAUGCAACGCGAAGAACCUUACCUGGCCUUGACAUCCCAGGAACCUCGCAGAAAUGUGAGGGUGCCGUAAGGAACCUGGAGACAGGUGCUGCAUGGCUGUCGUCAGCUCGUGUCGUGAGAUGUUGGGUUAAGUCCCGCAACGAGCGCAACCCUUGUCCUUAGUUGCCAGCACUUCGGGUGGGCACUCUAAGGAGACCGCCGGUGACAAACCGGAGGAAGGUGGGGAUGACGUCAAGUCAUCAUGGCCUUUAUGGCCAGGGCUACACACGUGCUACAAUGGCCGGUACAGAGGGUUGCCAACCCGCGAGGGGGAGCCAAUCCCAUAAAACCGGUCGUAGUCCGGAUCGGAGUCUGCAACUCGACUCCGUGAAGUCGGAAUCGCUAGUAAUCGCGAAUCAGCCAUGUCGCGGUGAAUACGUUCCCGGGUCUUGCACACACCGCCCGU